rnacentral:rRNA from 1 species
ACACAUGCAAGUGAACGAUAUAGUGGAGAGGGUGAGUAAGCGUGGGAACGUGCCUUCACUACGGAAUAGCUCUUGGAAACGAGUGGUAAUACCGUAUACGCCCUCCGGGGGAAAGAUUAUCGGUGAAAGAUCGGCCCGCGUUAGAUUAGCUGGUUGGUGGGGUAAUGGCCUACCAAGGCGACGAUCUAUAGCUGGUCUGAGAGGAUGAUCAGCCACACUGGGACUGAGACACGGCCCAGACUCCUACGGGAGGCAGCAGUGGGGAAUCUUGCACAAUGGGCGAAAGCCUGAUGCAGCCAUGCCGCGUGAAUGAUGAAGGCCUUAGGGUUGUAAAAUUCUUUCAACGGUGACGAUAAUGACGGUAGCCGUAGAAGAAGCCCCGGCUAACUUCGUGCCAGCAGCCGCGGUAAUACGAAGGGGGCUAGCGUUGUUCGGAAUUACUGGGCGUAAAGCGCGCGUAGGCGGAUUAUUAAGCCAGAUGUGAAAUCCCGGGGCUCAACCUCGGAACUGCAUUUGGAACUGGUAAUCUAGAGGUCAGGAGAGGUUCGUGGAAUGCCGAGUGUAGAGGUGAAAUUCGUAGAUAUUCGGUGGAACACCAGUGGCGAAGGCGACGAACUGGACUGAUACUGACGCUGAGGUGCGAAAGUGUGGGGAGCAAACAGGAUUAGAUACCCUGGUAGUCCACACCGUAAACGAUGAGAGCUAGUUGUCGGCAUGCAUGCAUGUCGGUGACGCAGCUAACGCAUUAAGCUCUCCGCCU